UGGUCUACUAUGGCUCAGAUUGAACGCUCGGCGGAUGUUUUACACAUGCAAGUCGAACGGCAGCACAUGGACUUCGGUCUGGUGGCGAGUGGCGAACGGGUGAGUAAUGUAUCGGAACGUGCCUAGUAGCGGGGGAUAACUACGCGAAAAGGUACAAUAAUGCAUACGCCCUUCGGGGAAAGCGGGGACCUUCGGGCCUUCGCACUAUUAGAGCGGCCGUGAUAUCGGAUUAGCUAGUUGGUGGGGUAACGGUCACCAAGGCGACGAUCCGUAGCCAUUUGAGAGGACGACCAGCCACACUGGACUGGAGACACGGCCCAGACUCUACGGGAGGCAGCAGUGGGGAAUUUUGGACAACGGGGAAACCUGAUCCAGCCAUCCCGGUGUGCGAUGAAGGCUCUCGGGUUGUAAAGCACUUUUGGCAGGAAAGAAACGGCACGGAUAGCCCCGUGCAACUGACGGUACCCGCAGAAUAAGCACCGGCUAACCACGUGCCAGCAGCCGCGGUAAUACGUAGGGUGCAAGCGUUAAUCGGAAUUCACGGCGUAAAGCGCGCAGGCGGCCCGGAAAGAAAGAUGUGAAAUCCCAGAGCUUAACUUUGAAUGAUACUUUAACUACCGGAGCCAGAGUGCAAGUCAGAGGGAGGGGAAUUCAUGCGUAGCAGUGAAAUGCGUAGAUAUGCGAGGAACCACCGAUGGCGAAGGCAGCCUCCUGGGAUAACACUGACGCCUAUGCACGAAAGGGGGAGCAAACAGGAUUAGAUACCCUGGUAGUCCACGCCCUAAACGAUGUCAACUAGCCAUAAAUUUCGGGCCCGGUAGCGCAGCUAACGCGUGAAGUUGACCGCCUGGGGAGUACGGUCGCAAGAUUAAAACUCAAAGGAAUUGACGGGGACCCGCACAAGCGGUGGAUGAUGUGAUUAAUCUGAUGCAACGCGAAAACCUAUCACAAUUUUUGACAUGUCUGGAAUCCUGAAGAGAUUUGGGAGUGCUCGCAGAGAACCGGAACACAGGUGCUGCAUGGCGUUGUCGUCAGUCGCUGUGUCGAGAUGUUGGGUUAAGUCCCGCAACGAGCGCGUUAACCCUUGUCAUUAGUUGGCUACGAAAGGGCAAUUUCCACGAGACUGCCGGUGACAAACCGGAGGAAGGUGAUGACGUCAAGUCCUCAUGGCCUUUAUGGGUAGGGCUUCAACAUCGUCAUACAAUGGUCGGGACAGAGGGUCGCUAACCCGCGAGGGGGAGCCGCCAAUCCCAGAAACCCGAUCGUAGUCCGGAUCGUAGUCAGUAACCUGACUGCGUGAAGUCGGAAUCGCUAGUAAUCGCGGAUCAGCAUGUCGCGGUGAAUACGUUCCCGGGUCUUGUACACCGCCCGUCACACCAUGGGAGUGGGUUUUACCAUAGAAGUAGUUACCUAACCGUAAGGAGGGCGAUUACCACGUAGGAUUCAUGACUAGGUGAAGUCGUAACAAGGUAA
rnacentral:rRNA from 1 species